rnacentral:lncRNA from 1 species
CUGGAGUCCACGCCCGCUGGCGCCAGACUCCCGGGAGUACUCGAGGUCUGCCCCAAACCUGAACGCAAUCCACUCUACACUUCCACGCAUCCAGUGGGUCAAGCCAGAAACAGGGGAAUCAUCCUGCACAACUCUUUGACCCACAACCCCAUAUCGAUCCAUCAUCAAGUCCUAGUUGUUUACCUCCUGAAGAGCUUUGGAGUCUUUACAUGCCUCACCAUCGAAGCUGCCACCACCACCUCCUCUCUGGAUACUACUGCAGUCUCCUAAAAGGUCACCCUGCAUCUAUGCUUGUCACCGUCACUACGUCCUUUAAAAACACGUGGAGACCAAAAUCUUUCCUGUGCCUUGCAAAGCAUAGCAUGGUCUAGCCUCUUCCUAACUCAAAUUUUAUCAGUUUUCUCAUCCUACCCACCGUCCUCUUUUUAGUUCCUGCAACGAUAUAUCGGAUUUGUGUCUCAAGCCCUUGGCAUUCGCUACGUCUAACGUUCGUUUCUUUU